AGCAGCCGCGGUAAUUCCAGCUCCAAUAGCGUAUAUUAAAGUUGUUGCAGUUAAAAAGCUCGUAGUUGAAUUUUGGAUUCUGCCAAUUGGUCCAUCUUUUAGAUGAGUACUGGUUGUGUGGGGUCUAUCCGCCUGGUGAUACGUAAUGUCCUUUAUUGGAUGUUGCGGGUAGUCAGGACCUUUACCUUGAAAAAAUUAGAGUGUUUAAAGCAGGCUUAUGCCGGAAUACAUUAGCAUGGAAUAAUAGAAUAGGACGAAGUUGUUUUAUUUUGUUGGUUUCUAGGACAACCGUAAUGAUUAAUAGGGAUAGUUGGGGGCAUUAGUAUUCAAUUGUCAGAGGUGAAAUUCUUGGAUUUAUUGAAGACUAACUACUGCGAAAGCAUUUGCCAAGGAUGUUUUCAUUAAUCAAGAACGAAAGUUAGGGGAUCGAAGACGAUCAGAUACCGUCGU
rnacentral:rRNA from 1 species